UACAGAGGGGGCAAGCGUUAUUCGGAAUUAUUGGGCGUAAAGGGCGCGUAGGCGGCUUGGCAAGUGGAUGGUGAAAUCCCUCGGCUUAACCGAGGAACUGCCGUCCAAACUGCUUCGCUUGAGACCGGGAGAGGUGAGUGGAAUUCCCAGUGUAGCGGUGAAAUGCGUAGAUAUUGGGAGGAACACCAGUGGCGAAGGCGGCUCACUGGACCGGUACUGACGCUGAGGCGCGAAAGCUAGGGGAGCAAACGGG
rnacentral:rRNA from 1 species